CGGACGGGUGAGUAACACGUGGAUAACCUACCUAUAAGACUGGGAUAACUUCGGGAAACCGGAGCUAAUACCGGAUAAUAUUUUGAACCGCAUGGUUCAAAAGUGAAAGACGGUCUUGCUGUCACUUAUAGAUGGAUCCGCGCUGCAUUAGCUAGUUGGUAAGGUAACGGCUUACCAAGGCAACGAUGCAUAGCCGACCUGAGAGGGUGAUCGGCCACACUGGAACUGAGACACGGUCCAGACUCCUACGGGAGGCAGCAGUAGGGAAUCUUCCGCAAUGGGCGAAAGCCUGACGGAGCAACGCCGCGUGAGUGAUGAAGGUCUUCGGAUCGUAAAACUCUGUUAUUAGGGAAGAACAUAUGUGUAAGUAACUGUGCACAUCUUGACGGUACCUAAUCAGAAAGCCACGGCUAACUACGUGCCAGCAGCCGCGGUAAUACGUAGGUGGCAAGCGUUAUCCGGAAUUAUUGGGCGUAAAGCGCGCGUAGGCGGUUUUUUAAGUCUGAUGUGAAAGCCCACGGCUCAACCGUGGAGGGUCAUUGGAAACUGGAAAACUUGAGUGCAGAAGAGGAAAGUGGAAUUCCAUGUGUAGCGGUGAAAUGCGCAGAGAUAUGGAGGAACACCAGUGGCGAAGGCGACUUUCUGGUCUGUAACUGACGCUGAUGUGCGAAAGCGUGGGGAUCAAACAGGAUUAGAUACCCUGGUAGUCCACGCCGUAAACGAUGAGUGCUAAGUGUUAGGGGGUUUCCGCCCCUUAGUGCUGCAGCUAACGCAUUAAGCACUCCGCCUGGGGAGUACGACCGCAAGGUUGAAACUCAAAGGAAUUGACGGGGACCCGCACAAGCGGUGGAGCAUGUGGUUUAAUUCGAAGCAACGCGAAGAACCUUACCAAAUCUUGACAUCCUU
rnacentral:rRNA from 1 species